rnacentral:lncRNA from 1 species
GAGGAUUCGAAUCCAAAAGCUGUUACCAUGACUUCAAAGGCGCAGGCUGGAAUGGAAAGAAGCAGUGCAGACAUUUUAUACCACUCUGUAGUCACCGAUCAUGAAAAUACACUCUGGUUCCAGCAUUUUAUUAUUUUUUUUUCCUGUGGAUACCAAAACUCCACCGUGAUGAAAUAAAACGAUGCCGUGCUCCUUCAGCCAACCUUUGUUUAGAAGAAGGGAGCCGCCGCGCUGGCAGGCUGUGGGGCUGGCAGUGACCGAGGAUGGGGCUGGUCCUGGGAGGAGGGGAGCUCUGCCAGCCCCCGGCCAACAUCGGGCACCAUUAACUUGGGUUUGGACUCGGGUUUGGACUCUCUCCGUCCUUACACAUCGACAGGCGGCCGCAAAUUCCCUCUCAGCGAUAGAUCCCACUUAAAGGAGUCAGGCGUUCAUGUUCUUUGGAUGGUCGGGGGAGAAAAAGAUCAAAAGAGUCAAAUGGCUGCAAAAUGGGGUUGCGUUUAUUUGUACUGGUUUGUUCCUUGAUCGAAAAUGCAACUUUUUUUUUAAAUAUAGUGAACCCUUUCUUUCUACAGUGUCUAAAUGGUGUCAUUUUCCUUCACUGCUACAUUUCUAAAGAUAAAUGCUCCAGCCUUUUGCAAAACUGUCAUGUAUAUGUUUCUAAUUACUCAACAGCACAGUCUACUGCAGGAUAACCUAAUGCAGAAGAGCAGCUGAAGAAGGAGAAGAUAUUACAGAAUCACAGAAUCUUCUAGAUUGGAAGGGACCUUAAAGAUCAUCUUGUCCAACUGUCAACCUAACUGACAAAAAUAGACACCCGCACAACAAACAAGAAGCAUCACCAUCACUAAACCAUACCUCCCAGCACUACAUCAACCUGUCUUUUGAACACCUCCAGGGAUGGGGCCUCAACCACCUCCCUGGUUUUUCCUAAUAUUUUUCCUACUAUUCCUGCAGGUUGGUGGGUUGAAGAGCUACGAGGCUGUGCUUUGGUUCCCUGCUUUCCCGAAGGGUGCUGGUGUGGCUCCGGCAUCAGAGGUGGCCAAGCUGGGCCGUGUUGUGCAGCAGCUUCUCCUGGCAGCAGUGCCAAGGGCUGCCCUGCAAAGCCACAAAGAGGAUGGUGCCACCUCCUGAGGGUUCCUACAGCAGGCGAUGCGUGCAGAGACUUUGGCUUGUGCUGUCUGAAGAUGCUGGUAGGUGAGUAAGCUGUCAGUGGGGGCUGUCGAGGGAGGGCUGAGCUAACCCUCUGUGACACUGCCUGCAGGUUACAAGCGAGCAGAGAGCUCUUCC